rnacentral:rRNA from 1 species
ACUUUCCACGUGAACUGUUUGUAUCCGAUUCGCGCCGGGUUUCGAGCGUGUUUGUGUUUGUUGCCGUGUAAUGCGGCGAUCGACGAAACAUUGCGCGAAGCCUAGGCUGAUCGAAGGUCGUUGCGCAAGUAUUGUCUAAUAUGCGUGCUUCGGCUGACUUAUUCUUUCAAACCCCUUACUUUAACAACUGAUCAAUACUGUGAGGACGAAAGUCUUUGCUUUAAAACUAGAUAACAACUUUCAGCAGUGGAUGUCUAGGCUCGCACAUCGAUGAAGAACGCUGCGAACUGCGAUACGUAAUGCGAAUUGCAGAAUUCAGUGAGUCAUCGAAAUUUUGAACGCAUAUUGCACUUUCGGGUUAUACCUGGAAGUAUGUCUGUAUCAGUGUCCGUACAUCAACCUUGCCUCUCUUUGUCGGUGUAGUCCGGCGUGGAGCAUGUGCAGACGUGAGGUGUCUCGCGGCGUGUGUGUGUGCGUAUUGCGAAAUACGCAUCGACCUGCUGCGAGUCCCUUUAAAACGACACGAUCUUUCUAUUUGCUUUCUACGGAGCGCGUAUCUCGAACGCGGCGGUCCUCGGAUCGCUCGCAGUCGACAGCGACUUCAGCGGAGACAUAUGGGAGAAACCACUAUUCGCGGUACGUUAGGCUUCGGCUCGACAAUGUUGCGUUUUAGUGUGUGGAUUCCGUCUUCGCUUUGAGGUGUACUGUUCGGUUGUGGGCUUGAACCUUGUGUAUCGCUUUUGUUAGUAGAGGUGUGUCGAUUUUUCUGUGGUUUGAUUCCGCACGUUAUGUGUGGGUAGAGAGACUCCAUUUGGGAAACAUUGUACUGCGCGUACGCUUUCGGGCGUGUGUGUGUGUAUCUCAAUUGG